CACAAUGGGCGCAAGCCUGAUGGAGCAACACCGCGUGAGUGAAGAAGGGUUUCGGCUCGUAAAGCUCUGUUGUUAAAGAAGAACACGUAUGAGAGUAACUGUUCAUACGUUGACGGUAUUUAACCAGAAAGUCACGGCUAACUACGUGCCAGCAGCCGCGGUAAUACGUAGGUGGCAAGCGUUAUCCGGAUUUAUUGGGCGUAAAGAGAGUGCAGGCGGUUUUCUAAGUCUGAUGUGAAAGCCUUCGGCUUAACCGGAGAAGUGCAU
rnacentral:rRNA from 1 species